rnacentral:rRNA from 1 species
UGGGGAAUUUUGGACAAUGGGCGAAAGCCUGAUCCAGCCAUGCCGCGUGAGUGAAGAAGGCCUUCGGGUUGUAAAGCUCUUUUAGUCGGAAAGAAAGAGUUGCAAUGAAUAAUUGUGAUUUAUGACGGUACCGACAGAAAAAGCACCGGCUAACUACGUGCCAGCAGCCGCGGUAAUACGUAGGGUGCGAGCGUUAAUCGGAAUUACUGGGCGUAAAGGGUGCGCAGGCGGUCUUGCAAGUCAGAUGUGAAAGCCCCGGGCUUAACCUGGGAAUUGCGUUUGNAACUACAAGGCUAGAGUGCAGCAGAGGGGAGUGGAAUUCCAUGUGUAGCAGUGAAAUGCGUAGAGAUGUGGAAGAACACCGAUGGCGAAGGCAGCUCCCUGGGUUGACACUGACGCUCAUGCACGAAAGCGUGGGGAGCGAACA